rnacentral:lncRNA from 1 species
AUGGUCCCCACAGGGUUAUUUAGGAAGCAGGAGCUUCCUGACUCCAUGACUUCACAGAGGGCGGCCCCAGGGGUUCCUUUGCAUCCCCUCUGCUGCUGGGAACAAAAGGCUGCCUUGCUCCCGCCUUCCCUUCACGGUUCACUCUUUGGUUCACUUCCUCCAAAUGGAGUGGCAGCUUGCAAAGACAGAGAAGACAAAGUUAGGCUUCCUCUCCACUGUCCCGGGGUGAGAUGGGCACAGGUCAUUGUCACAUCGAGACAAGGGGAAGCCUUUGAACGCGGGGUGGUCCCGGCCCUCCCUUGGCACAGGCGGAACGAGCUAAGCUGACCUGCAUUUUCUCAGCCCUUCGGGUCCUUGGCUGAAGAUGCACUCUGCAGGCACUGACCAGGGCAUACGUGGGCGGAGGGCUCAUAUCCAUGACUUUAGCCCCCAACAGAACCCACCCACCAGGAGAUGGCUUCAGAGUAGUGCUGCUCUGGGCCUGCGUUUCCUUCCUGGAGGCAGCAAUCACAGGCAAGCAGUUUGUUUAGGAAAACCCUAAAUCCAGAAAGUCAAGAGGAAAGAUCCUUCAAGAGCCUCAGGACAAGUCCCUGCAUUGCAUAGCAGGAGAAGCAGUUGGAGGAGGCAGUGGGUCAGGUGACUGUUGGAUCCAUUGUGCUGACUCGUGGAUGCCAGAGGUUGCCACGGAGACCAGGAGAUGCUGAGCGCUGGGUGAACUCUCACCAGGAAGUGAGAUGUUCAGUAUCCUCAUCGUACAACAUCCUGCCUGAACUUUUGGCAUCAGUAAAAACUUUCUCCAGUGUUCUUGGGCUUUCAUCCCCUGCUAAGGAAUUUUGUUACAGUUAAUGUUCAGAAUUGUAAAGAGGGCCCUUGUGGGUCCUUGAGCCCAGGGCUUCUCAAAGUGUGGUGCUCAGUCUUCCUGUCUCAAAUUCACCUCUGGACACCGGUUAGAGGCAGAUUUCCUGAACUACUCUCCAGCCUGCUGGGGUGAGGCUCAUGGAGGGGAGUUUUACCGGGCUUCUUGGGGAAUCUUCACACACAUCAAAGUCAGAAAGCCCCCGAUCUAACCCAGUCUCAUCAGGUGCACAAGGCCAGGAGCUUGCUCACAGAGCUGACCCCGGACUUCUCAGAUCCACGUCUCCAGCCCUUAAUCCCUGACCCUGACCUUAGGUGCUGAAGGUAAACAGAAG